UUAAGAGGAAAUGCACUGCAAGUAUUUUGAUGUAUUCAAACUGAUCCAUGACCCUGGCAUGUGAUAAACAGGCCCGACACCAUAGUAUAAGAAACAUCCCCAUAU